rnacentral:lncRNA from 10 species
GUAUAGAGCCUAGGCCCCAGAAUCAGGAUUUGAUUUAUGGCUCUACUAAUGAUCCUAAGCAGGUUAACCUCUCUAAGCUUACUUUAAACUGGAGAUAAUAGUACUUGCCUCAGAGAGCAUUUCUGAAAAUUAAAUAACUUAGUGUCAAAUUAUGCAUUUAUGAAAUUACUAUAAGGUGUGAAACUGUUCCUCCUAAGCCCUUCUCAAGGAAAAAAAAAAUCUCUUUAUUAACUGGACCAAAAAGCUACUUUGAGAAAAGCUCCCAGCCUUUAUAAAUGGAGGCAGGAGGCUCAGAGUGAGUAGGAGGAGUUGGGAAGAUCAAAGCAAGAGGAGGGAUUGAGGGAGGGGCUUCUAGAUGCUGAAAAAGUCAAGGAAUCAAAGAACUUGCUAGCAGCAUAUCAAUAGCAGAGAUGGAAGUCUGGUCAUAUGGUGCCCACAUCUAUUGAAGUAAACAUGCUGAUACCAGAUAUCCCUGGCUCUCUGUCUUCAAGGCACAUGGUAGAACUAUACUUCCUAGCUUUCUGUGUGGCUGGGUGGGUCACAUGACAAGUUCAGACAGAUGAAUUAUGAUUAGAAGCAUUUAAUUGUUAAAAUGAAAAGACUGGCUCAAAGUUUAAUAAAACCAAUUCAGGUUUACAUAGUGAUAUUGGUGGAGUAGCAGAUUUGACCUCAGGUCAGUCUGUCUAAAGGUGCUUCUCACUUCUUUACAUUACUUAUUUUACAUACACGAGAGCAAGAUAAGCAGACCAUUUCCACCCCACACAAGGCUGAGUAUCAUAAGAUACACUCCUGUACAUGUCGAAUCCUUUUGUAGAAUUUUACACAUUUGUUUAACGAUAAAUUCCUCCUUAGAAUCUACAGUCUGUAGGCUCCAUGAGGUCAGAUCCUCUCACUUACUACUUUAUAAAACCUCUGUACUUUGCACAUAGUACUUGCUCAAAUAUCUAUUAACUGAUACCCUUUAAGGAGAUUCAUAACUUAAAGAAAAUACCAGAUGAAUAUACAGUGAUUCAACAUCCACAAAGCAAGCUACUAUCUGUCAGGAGACUCAUGUCUUGAAAGGUAGCCUGUCUCUGAUACAACUCUAAGGCAGAUUUUGCCAGGUACAUGAAGGUCAGCAAAUUCUGUGCCUUUCAUUCCUGCCAAACCUGGUCACGACCUCAAAAUGUAAGCUUCUCCUGACAGCUGUCCUCUUCAGUCAGUUUAGCUCCUCUGCGCUUCCCCUCUU